CGAAGACCCGAUUAUUAAGAGAUCGGAUGGGGGGAGAGGCCCUCGCAACGGUCCUUAUGUGCCCCCACAGUCCUGUUAGAAACAGGAGAAAAAUCUCGUCCUAACAUUAGCUGAAAUUGACUGUGUCGGGAACAGGAGGAGAACCUCAUCCUGACACAAACGAAGAUCUGAUCGUUUAAGAUCGGAUGAGGAAAAAAACCUCCUCAACGGCUCCUCUACACCCUUACAACCCCAUUAGGAGCAGAGGGAAAAUCCUCGUCUAAAUAUAUAUAUAAAAAAAGAAAGAGAAAAAGGAAAAGCGAUGAGCUACGUCAGAGAUAAGAAAAAAAUGAACUACAUCUAAGACACAAGGGACCUUGUCUCAACGAGGAAGAAAACUCUUGUCAAAAAUCCUCAGUCUCUAAGGGGGAACCCAACACUAGCAGGAGAAAAUAGACUUUCUCAAAGUAACGAGAAGUUUGGGCCCCAAGCUCGAACAUCGGGAGAAAGCGUCAAAUUCGAAUGGCCUCGAAAAGAUCUUCAAUCAUGAUCAAAAAGGACGAAUCAACGUGACGAUGAUCAGGAACCUUCAAACAACGUCGAUAUCGAAUAAGACAAAAGAUAAGAGAAGCUUGGUAAAUGAUAACUCAAAGCAAGAAUAGACAAGGUAAUGAGAAAAUUUCUUUUCAUUUCAUUAGUAAAGAGUGCAUUAGUAAAGGGAGGCGACUUCGGUUGUGAAAUUUUUUUUGUACUUCUUUUAUGCGAAAUCCGAACUCGAAAGUAGGGGGACUAGUGUUGGGUAUAAAAUAAUCCUAGCCGAAGUUCGUAAGAGGCCAACCCUCCCAGGACUCUUCCGGCUUCUGAUCUUGUGCGGCG
rnacentral:lncRNA from 1 species